CACUGCCUGCAUCCACAUUCAACAGACACAUUUUUGCGACACCACAGAGAGACAUAACAAGCAGCUAACUCAAAGAAGAACAACAACAACUGAAAAUGUCAUGAAAUUGGGAAAACAAUUCGUCAGCGCCUUACCCUCCAGGCAGAGGACAAGAUCAACCAGACAGUCAACACAGAUGGAAGUGUAUUUUGAAAGAAGACAAUGCAUGGAACAGGCAGAACUUGACACGGUGUCCCAGAACGUCAAUAACCAACGCACCCAGGGUACCUUACAAGUCGUAUCUGGAGGUGGAAAGACCGUGACCAAAUGUCGAUAUGUGAUGAGGUCAGAUUGUGUUGUUGCUUGGCUGUAACUUUUCUGUAUGUUGCUGUCUUGGCCAGAGAUACUUCUCAACGGGACUUACCUGCUUAAAAAUCACGCCUCCCUCUCAGCCCAUUCAGUCUGCUCAUUACCUGCACCUGGUUUUCCCCGCCCAUCUCCACACCUGAGGCUCAUUCUCCCAUCAGUCCUUCAGAAUACAUAUCAGUCCAUUUUCCCCUGCUCCUGCCAGGUUGUCUUGUGUUUCUGCCAAGCUACUUUCCUUUUUUGCCUGAUCACCUGUUUUUGACCCUGCCUGCCUGUUCUUUGGACUCUGGAUUCCCUUCCUGCCCCUUGUCUGAUUUGUUUGCUGGCUGGACUGAUUUCCUGGUUUUGACUCUGCCUGAACUGAUCUAGUAAAGUUGACUUUCCCUGCAACUCUAUUGCCUCUUUGUCAGGCAUUUGGGUUCAGACCUGUACUGGUGAAUCUUACAGGCACUGACUUAAACUGCUGCAGUGCAUGUGUCGAAAAUAGUCAUUUAAAGUACAUGAAAUUGUUUAAAUGUGUGUUUUUUCCACUGCUGAUGAGAGCUGCUGAUACUUGGGCAAAUCCUUAAUGUUGAUGAAGAUCAUUUGGUGUGAUUGAAAGCGCCAAAGCAGGUAUUAAAUGGACAUUGUGCUAAGAUUGUUUUCUCUGUAUUAGUGUAGUUUUUCUCCUUGGAUAAGCUUUACCACUUUAGCUCCUGUGGUUU